rnacentral:misc_RNA from 1 species
CCAAACUUGGUCAUUUAGAGGAAGUAAAAGUCGUAACAAGGUUUCCGUAGGUGAACCUGCGGAAGGAUCAUUAACGAAUUGUAUGGACUUGGCUGUAGCUGGCUCUCUCUGGGAGCAUGUGCACGCCUUGUUCAAACCUUUCAUUCUUUAACCCCCUGUGCACUUUUGUGAAUUGCGGAUUGGAAAACAUAUUCAAAGUAACAUUUGGUCUUGGGGAUUGCCUAUGCUGACCCCUACUUCUGUUCGCAGUUCAUGUCUUUUUUUAUAAACCAUGUAAUAACAUCUAGAAUGUAUUGACGAGUUGGCACUUUAUUGUACCGCUCUUAAAUCUUAUACAACUUUCAACAACGGAUCUCUUGGCUCUCGCAUCGAUGAAGAACGCAGC